rnacentral:rRNA from 1 species
CCUACGGGAGGCAGCAGUGGGGAAUAUUGGGCAAUGGGCGCAAGCCUGACCCAGCAACGCCGCGUGAGUGAAGAAGGCUUUCGGGUUGUAAACUUCUUUUGUCAGGGAAGAGUAGAAGACGGUACCUGACGAAUAAGCCACGGCUAACUACGUGCCAGCAGCCGCGGUAAUACGUAGGUGGCAAGCGUUGUCCGGAUUUACUGGGUGUAAAGGGCGUGUAGCCGGGUUGACAAGUCAGAUGUGAAAUCCUGCGGCUUAACCGAAGAACUGCAUUUGAAACUGUUGAUCUUGAGUACUGGAGAGGCAGACGGAAUUCCUAGUGUAGCGGUGAAAUGCGUAGAUAUUAGGAGGAACACCAGUGGCGAAGGCGGUCUGCUGGACAGCAACUGACGGUGAGGCGCGAAAGCGUGGGGAGCAAACAGGAUUAGAUACCCCGGUAGUC